UACGGAGGGGGGCUAGCGUUGUUCGGAAUUACUGGGCGUAAAGCGCACGUAGGCGGCUUUGCAAGUUAGAGGUGAAAGCCCGGGGCUCAACUCCGGAAUUGCCUUUAAAACUGCAUCGCUAGAAUUGUGGAGAGGUAAGUGGAAUUCCGAGUGUAGAGGUGAAAUUCGUAGAGAUGCGGAGGAACACCGAUGGCGAAGGCAGCCCCCUGGGCUAACACUGACGCUCAGGCACGAAAGCGUGGGGAGCAAACAGG
rnacentral:rRNA from 1 species